rnacentral:rRNA from 1 species
GCGCAGGGAGAAGUUUCUUGGAAAAGAACAUCAGAGAGGGUGAGAGUCCCGUAUUUGCUCUGUGUCCUUAUGUUCCACGGACGGUACGCCUUUAUAGAGUCGCGUUCAUCGGGAUUUGAGCGCAAAAUGUGUGGUAAGUUUCACAUAAGGCUAAAUAUUGGCGCGAGACCGAUAGCAAACAAGUACCGUGAGGGAAAGAUGAAAAGUUCUUUGGAAAGAGAGUUAAAAGUGCCUGAAAUUGCUGAAAAGGAAGCGAUUGGAACCUUUUGGAAUCUAAUACGUGAAUCUCUUAUAGCAUCAAGCCCCUGAUUCUUUCACUUUUUAACAGGAGGGAAGGAUUAGGGUAAGGCUAUAGAUGUAAGGGACGAGAAUCGUAUUAGAGAGGUCAGCAUCAGUUAUGAAGGGGAGAUUAAGGGUGCAGAAGGUAGGUCCCCCGUGGGCUGCUUUAUAGAUGCAUCAUUUUAUUUACUUUCCUUUAUGACUGACGUGUACUUAUUGCAUGGAAUUUUCGGGCUACACUCUCUUUUGGGAGUACUCGAGUUCUGUGAUGCUGGCUGAAACGGUUUCAACCGACCCGUCUUGAAACACGGACCAAGGAGUCUAACAUAUGUGCGAGUAUGCGGGUGGCAAACCUGUAUGCGUAAUGAAAGUAAGAGUAGGGAAGAGGGUAACAUCUUUUUAAAAGGAUGUUAUGCUUUGCACCUACGACCGACCACGAUCUCAGAG